rnacentral:rRNA from 1 species
CCUACGGGUGGCAGCAGUCGAGAAUCAUUCACAAUGGGGGAAACCCUGAUGGUGCGACGCCGCGUGAGUGAAGAAGUAUUUCGGUAUGUAAAGCUCUAUCAGCAGGGAAGAAAAUGACGGUACCUGAUUAAGAAGCCCCGGCUAACUACGUGCCAGCAGCCGCGGGAAUACGGAGGGGGCAAGCGUUAUCCGGAUUUACUGGGUGUAAAGGGAGCGUAGACGGCAGCACAAGUCUGGAGUGAAAUGCCUGGGCUUAACCCCGGAACUGCUUUGGAAACUGUGCAGCUAGAGUGCAGGAGAGGUAAGUGGAAUGCCUAGUGUAGCGGUGAAAUGCGUAGAUAUUAGGAGGAACACCAGUGGCGAAGGCGGCUUACUGGACUGUAACUGACGUUGAGGCUCGAAAGCGUGGGGAGCAAACAGGAUUAGAUACCCUGGUAGUC